rnacentral:rRNA from 1 species
AUUGAACGCUGGCGGCAUGCUUUACACAUGCAAGUCGAACGGUAACAGGUCUUCGGAUGCUGACGAGUGGCGAACGGGUGAGUAAUACAUCGGAACGUGCCCGAUCGUGGGGGAUAACGAAGCGAAAGCUUUGCUAAUACCGCAUAAGAUCUACGGAUGAAAGCAGGGGACCGCAAGGCCUUGCGCGAACGGAGCGGCCGAUGGCAGAUUAGGUAGUUGGUGGGAUAAAAGCUUACCAAGCCGACGAUCUGUAGCCGGUCUGAGAGGACGACCAGCCACACUGGGACUGAGACACGGCCCAGACUCCUACGGGAGGCAGCAGUGGGGAAUUUUGGACAAUGGGCGAAAGCCUGAUCCAGCCAUGCCGCGUGCAGGAUGAAGGCCUUCGGGUUGUAAACUGCUUUUGUACGGAACGAAAAGACUCUUUCUAAUAAAGAGGGUCCAUGACGGUACCGUAAGAAUAAGCACCGGCUAACUACGUGCCAGCAGCCGCCGUAACAC